rnacentral:rRNA from 1 species
CGGCGGCCUUAACACAUGCAAGUCGAGCGGGCGUAGCAAUACGUCAGCGGCAGACGGGUGAGUAACGCGUGGGAACGUACCUUUUGGUUCGGAACAACACAGGGAAACUUGUGCUAAUACCGGAUAAGCCCUUACGGGGAAAGAUUUAUCGCCGAAAGAUCGGCCCGCGUCUGAUUAGCUAGUUGGUAGGGUAACGGCCUACCAAGGCGACGAUCAGUAGCUGGUCUGAGAGGAUGAUCAGCCACAUUGGGACUGAGACACGGCCCAAACUCCUACGGGAGGCAGCAGUGGGGAAUAUUGGACAAUGGGGGCAACCCUGAUCCAGCCAUGCCGCGUGAGUGAUGAAGGCCCUAGGGUUGUAAAGCUCUUUUGUGCGGGAAGAUAAUGACGGUACCGCAAGAAUAAGCCCCGGCUAACUUCGUGCCAGCAGCCGCGGUAAUACGAAGGGGGCUAGCGUUGCUCGGAAUCACUGGGCGUAAAGGGUGCGUAGGCGGGUCUUUAAGUCAGGGGUGAAAUCCUGGAGCUCAACUCCAGAACUGCCUUUGAUACUGAAGAUCUUGAGUUCGGGAGAGGUGAGUGGAACUGCGAGUGUAGAGGUGAAAUUCGUAGAUAUUCGCAAGAACACCAGUGGCGAAGGCGGCUCACUGGCCCGAUACUGACGCUGAGGCACGAAAGCGUGGGGAGCAAACAGGAUUAGAUACUCUGGUAGUCCACGCCGUAAACGAUGAAUGCCAGCCGUUAGUGGGUUUACUCACUAGUGGCGCAGCUAACGCUUUAAGCAUUCCGCCUGGCGAGUACGGUCGCAAGAUUAGAACUCAAAGGAAUUGACGGGGGCCCGCACAAGCGGUGGAGCAUGUGGUUUAAUUCUACUCAACGCGCAGAACCUUACCAGCCCUUGACAUGUCCAGGACCGGUCGCAGAUAUGUGACCUUCUCUUCGGAGCCUGGAACACAGGUGCUGCAUGACUGUCGUCAGCUCGUGUCAUGAGAUGUGGGGUGAGUCCCGCAACUAGCGCAGCCUCUGUUCUUAGUUGCUACCAUUUAUUCGACCCUUCUAAGGAGACUGCCAGAGAUAGGCGCCUAGAACCGUGCGGAUGACGUCGAGUGCUCCUGGCCCUUCCCGGGUGGGCUACACCCCUGCUGCAUCGCCGCUGAAAAUGGGUGGGGAAGGG